GCGUAUUUCUUGAAAUUUAAGUGUUUUCAAAUGCAAAGAAGACGUAGUAAUAUAAAUGUAUAGGUAUAGAACAGGUAUGGUAUUACAAAUAUAUAGACUGCUGUUUGUAUCAAAUUGUUUUCUUUUUUAUACUCUGCAAAGAUAAAAACUAUCGAUUUUUUCCAUGAUGUUUACAGAGAAACGUCACAGCUGCCAACCCCACCCCCCCCCCACCCCCAAACAAACAUAUGACGUUUCUCGUGAAAAAAAUCGAUAUGUGAGGCUUCCCUUAUUGAAGAAGGGUACGAAGGUAUGUUCAUUUACAUUUUACAUAUCUACGCUCAAAAAUGUAUCAAUUGUCGCAAUUUAUUAAUAUAUGUAUUUAAAAAUAUCGAUCUUAUUUUGACUGUUGUAGAGUGUAGACAUUGGCAAGUAGUUCUUGGUUCGACGUUUCUGGAGAAGGAACGUUAUUUCCA
rnacentral:lncRNA from 1 species